UCACGCAUUAUCUCUCCACGAAUC
rnacentral:piRNA from 1 species